GCUCCUGUGGUCUAAGUGGUUAAAGCGUCUGCCUCUGAUGCAGAGGGUCGCCGGUUCGAACCCAAACGGAGUCA